GCCUGGGUGGCUCAGUCAGUUAAGCGUCUGCCUUCAACUCAGGUCGUGAUCCCAGGGUUCUGGGAUCAAGUCCCAGGUCAGGCU
rnacentral:tRNA from 1 species